UACGUAGGGGGCAAGCGUUAUCCGGAUUUACUGGGUGUAAAGGGGGCGCAGACGGCGAUGCAAGCCAGGAGUGAAAGCCCGGGGCCCAACCCCGGGACUGCUCUUGGAACUGCGUGGCUGGAGUGCAGGAGGGGCAGGCGGAAUUCCUGGUGUAGCGGUGAAAUGCGUAGAUAUCAGGAGGAACACCGGUGGCGAAGGCGGCCUGCUGGACUGCAACUGACGUCGAGGCCCGAAAGCGUGGGGAGCAAACAGG
rnacentral:rRNA from 1 species